GUGCGAGUAGACUGUUCUCAUAGAACCGAGGAACCAUAGAGUCUCACAGCUGAAGCGGGUGGUAGAGAUCUUAUCGCUCCACGGCUUCAUUUUUGAAUGAAAAAAAAAAAAAAGGUUCCAUUCACAAUAGCAACAAUCGCAACAACAACAACAAAAACCAUGAAACAAGUAGGAAUAACUCUAAUAAGAAAUAUGUAGAAUUCAUACGAAGAAAACUACAGAACCAUACAGAAUCAUAUCCAACUGGGAUAAAAUUAGACAGGCAGUAAUGAAGAGCCUUACCAUGGUCCUGAAUGAAAAGAGGAAAAAUUGUGAUGUCAGUUUUUAUCAAAUUAAAUGAAUAGACUUUAUUCAAGUCUACAAAAAAGUCUGGGAACAAAUCUGUGAAGAUUAGAGACCUAUUUUGACGACAGAAUUUAAGACUACACGGAUUUCUGCAGGCAUAUAAAAGCCACUUUCAAUGCUGUCUCAGAUAAAUGGGGUGGUGAGAGGAAGGAUCUGGAAGAAUGAGACUCCAGUGCUCUCUUCAGCAUCUAUAGUGAAACGACCAGACUGGCCCUGAGCUAACAUCCAUGCCCAUCUUCUUCUACUUUAUAUGCAGGACACCUACCACAGCAUGGCUUUCCAAGCGGUGCCAUGUCUGCACACAGGAUCCGAACCUACGAACCCAGGGCCACGGAAGCAGAAUGUGCAUGCGCACUUAACCGCUGCGCCACUGGGCCAUAUAUUCCUGUGUCUGGCUUCUUUUGCUCAACUUAAUGGUUUUAUCUAGUUGUUGUAGCAGUUCAUUCCUUUUAUUGCUAAAUAGUAUUCCAUCAUAUGAAUGCACAAUUUGUUUAUCCAUUUGAUACUUGGGUUGAUUCCAGUUCUUACCUAUUAUGAAUAAAGAAUAUGAACAUUGGCGUACAAGUCUUUGUGUGAAUACGUGUUUUCAUUUCUCUUGGGUAGAUUCCCUAGGAGUGUGAUUGUCGGGUUGUGCGCUAAGUGUAUUUUCCCAUUAUUUCCGACUGUUUUGUGUCAUUCUGCUUUAGGCAUGUCUUGUAAAUACUAUACAGCCACAAGAUUUAAAAUAUAUCCAGUCUGAGCAUUUGUCUUUUAAUAAGGGAACUUAACCUAGUCACAUUCAUCAUGAGCACUCUGUAUUUGGACUUUCCCCUACCAUCUUACUUCAUGUUUCUAUUUACCAUUAUUUCUUCUUCUUUUUAAAUUUACAUAUUGUGAAAUAUACAGGUGCCCAGUGGUGCAGUUCAAUGGGUUUUAACAAAUUCUUUUUUUUUUCUUUAAUUGAGUUUCCCUUUUGUAUUUCUUCUAUUGGUUUAGGAGACAUACAUCCUACAUUAUUUAGAAUUAGGUUUAGCUAUACAAUUAAAGUAAAACCCAGUAGGCUUUUCCAAUGUAUUAACAAAUAUGGUCACUCAAUUUCAAAGUUUACAUGUCCUAAAAGUUACCUCAGAGAAAGAGAGAGCAACCCUCCAGUAAAAGCUCUGGUUAAGACUAUUUGGCUUGACUUUGAUCACCUAGGUUUGAAAUAAUCACAAUGAUAAAGGGAAUAUGGGAUAUGCUGAUUGGUUCAAUCAGGAAGAUGAUCCUAUCCAUGUUACAGGCUGUGGGAGGAGUGAGCCACAGUCUAGUCCUGUGACAAUGGUUUUCUCUAUGAGGAAUUCUGUUAACAGAGAAGGGAAUCCAAUUUAUAUAUGUAUAUUCCUAAUAAGCAAUUAUGUAUUUUUGUGGUUUAAAAAAAUUGUAAAACACAUGUCACACCAUACUUAAUUGUUCUACAAGCUACUUUUCUCUUAAUAAUAGGUCAGAGUUAUUUCCAUGUAAGUAAUACAGCUCUACCUCUUGCUUUUAUUAAUUGUGGUAAAAUACACAUAAAAUAAAAUUUACCAUCUUAACCAUUUUUAAGUGUAUAGUUCAGUAGUGUUAAGUACAUUCACAUUGUUGUGCAACCAAUCUCCACAACUCUUUUUACCUUGCAAAACUGAAACUCUAUGCCAAUUAAACUCCCUGUUCCCCACUCCCUCCAGCCCCUGGCAACCUCCCUCCUACAUUGUCUCUAUGAAUUUGACUACUCUAGGUACCUUAUAUAAGUGGAAUCACAGUAUUUAUUUGUCUUUUGGCGACCAGCUUAUUUCACUUAGCUUAUUGUUCUCAAGGUUUAUUCAUGUUGUAGCAUGUUAGAAUUUCCUUCCUUUGUAAGGCUGCAUAAUAUUCCAUUAUGUGCAUAUACCACAUUUUCCUUAUUCAUCCAUUGAUGGACACAUGGAUUGCUUCUACUUCUUGGGUGUGCAAAUCUCUCUUCAAGAUCUUGCUUUCAGUUCUUUUGUAUAUGUACCCAGAAGUGGAAUGCUGGAUCAUAUGGUAAUUCUAUUUUUAAUUUUUUGAGGAAUCACCAUACUGUUCUCCAUUGCAGCUAUACCAUUUUACAUUUCCACCAACAGUGCACAAUAGUUCCAAUUUCUCCACAUCCUCGAAAACACUCGUUAUUUAUUCUUUUUUUUUUUUGUAUUAGUAUUUUCUUUUAAUUAAGGAAUCCACUUCUAUGACUACCAUGGGGCCCAAGCUGUGUUAACAGUGACGAAUCUGGAGGGAACCACACCCCACUCUGGACUUCCUGGUUACAACCACUACCCUCUCUACUGAACUGAAAACCCAGACUUACGAGGCCUCAGUCUCCGCCCUCCUAUUCCUGGAAGAUGCCAAAGCUAACUAUGUAGGAGGAUUUUUCAGAGGAGAAGACGACUUUGUCCUCCCAGAAGAGAAACCCUCCACUUUGCUUUAUGAGGCAGAUAGCAACCCCAAACCACAGAUAGGUUGGGACCUGCGCAGGCCUCAAUGACUUAUUCUUAAUAGUGGCCAUCCUAACAGACGUAAGGUGGUAUCUUACUGUGGUUUUUAUUUGCACUUCCCUAAUGAUGAGUGAUGUUGAACAUCUUUUCAUGUGCUUGCUGUCCAUUUGUAUAUCUUCUUUAGAAAAUUAUCUAUUCAAGUCCUUUGCCCAUCUUUAGAUCUACUUCAUUUUUUAAAAAUGCUAAUAGUACUGAUAUAACAUAGUUAAGACCCUUUUGAUGGACAUUUACAUUCUUUUCGAUUUUUCUCUAUUACCAACAGUGGUGCUGUAAAUAUCCUUCUAUAAGCUUUCUUGUACACGUGUGAAUGUUUCUUUAUACAUUUAUAUCACAC
rnacentral:lncRNA from 1 species